rnacentral:rRNA from 1 species
CACGUAGGGUGCGAGCGUUGUCCGGAAUUAUUGGGCGUAAAGAGCUCGUAGGCGGUGUGUCGCGUCGGCCGUGAAAACCUGCAGUUUAACUGUGGGCUUGCGGUCGAUACGGGCAUCACUGGAGUUCGGCAGGGGAGACUGGAAUUCCUGGUGUAGCGGUGAAAUGCGCAGAUAUCAGGAGGAACACCGGUGGCGAAGGCGGGUCUCUGGGCCGAUACUGACGCUGAGGAGCGAAAGCGUGGGGAGCGAACAGG